rnacentral:rRNA from 1 species
GUCCACGCCCUAAACGAUGAGGGUUAGAUGUUGGAAAGUUUUGCUUUUCAGUGUCGUAGCUAACGCGAUAAACCCUCCGCCUGAGUAGUAUAGCCGCAAGGCCGAAACUCAAAGGAAUUGACGGGGACCCGCACAAGUGGUGGAACAUGUGGUUUAAUUCGAAGGUACGCGAAAACCUUACCAGCUCUUGACAUGCUAACAGCGGAUCUAGGAGACUAGAUCCUCAUUAAGUUGGGUUAGCACAGGUGUUGCAUGGCCGUCGU